rnacentral:rRNA from 1 species
AGGAAAGCAGGGGAUCGCAAGACCUUGCGCUUUUGGAGCGGCCGAUGUCUGAUUAGCUAGUUGGUGAGGUAAAGGCUUACCAAGGCUUCGAUCAGUAGCUGGUCUGAGAGGACGACCAGCCACACUGGGACUGAGACACGGCCCAGACUCCUACGGGAGGCAGCAGUGGGGAAUUUUGGACAAUGGGGGCAACCCUGAUCCAGCCAUGCCGCGUGAGUGAAGAAGGCCUUCGGGUUGUAAAGCUCUUUCAGCCGGAACGAAAAGGUUACGGUUAAUACCCGUGACUAAUGACGGUACCGGAAGAAGAAGCACCGGCUAACUACGUGCCAGCAGCCGCGGUAAUACGUAGGGUGCGAGCGUUAAUCGGAAUUACUGGGCGUAAAGCGUGCGCAGGCGGUUUUGUAAGUCAGAUGUGAAAUCCCCGGGCUUAACCUGGGAACUGCGUUUGAAACUACAAGGCC